rnacentral:rRNA from 1 species
GAUGAACGCUGGCGGCGUGCCUAAUACAUGCAAGUAGAACGCUGAAGCUUGGUGCUGCACCGAGCGGAUGAGUUGCGAACGGGUGAGUAACGCGUAGGUAACCUGCCUCUUAGCGGGGGAUAACUAUUGGAAACGAUAGCUAAUACCGCAUAAAAGUCGAUAUCGCAUGAUAUUGAUUUGAAAGGUGCAAAUGCAUCACUAAGAGAUGGACCUGCGUUGUAUUAGCUAGUUGGUGAGGUAACGGCUCACCAAGGCGACGAUACAUAGCCGACCUGAGAGGGUGAUCGGCCACACUGGGACUGAGACACGGCCCAGACUCCUACGGGAGGCAGCAGUAGGGAAUCUUCGGCAAUGGGGGCAACCCUGACCGAGCAACGCCGCGUGAGUGAAGAAGGGUUUCGGAUCGUAAAGCUCUGUUGUAAGAGAAGAACGAGUGUGAGAGUGGAAAGUUCACACUGUGACGGUAACUUACCAGAAAGGGACGGCUAACUACGUG